UCAUAUUGGUAGGGCAAUGGGGUGACAGAGGAAGACAAUUAAUAUUCACUGAUUCCUAUUAUUUGCCACCUAUUUCCAUGAAUUAUAUGGAAAAUACGUUCUCGUCCCCUUUACACAGAUGAAAAAAUGGACACUCAGGAUAAUGUGUCCCAUGUCAGAAGGCUAGUGUAUUGGUUGAAUGGCACCCUACCUCCCCACCCUACUGGAACCCCCCAAUUUGAUGUCUACAUCAAAUCCCUGGCAACUGUGAAUGUUACCUCAUCUGGAAAAAGCAUCUUCAUAGAUGAACUUAAGCUUCUUACAAAUCUGAGCGUCAUCUGCAGGAAGCUACCAGUUACUGAUCCCUAGUCCAUGCUGGGACCUUGACAUGCAUCAUUUCUGACACGGGAGCUCUGCAGGAUGGAUACCAUUGUUCUCAUUUCCCAGAUGACAACAAAUGAGGCUAAUUGAUGAUUAGUGACCAGCUCAAGAUCACAUGGCUACUCAGUUGUGGGGCUGGGCUCAGAGCCAAACUGGCAAUUCCAGCCACAGCACACACUGCCUCCGCUGCACUAGAGGCUCAUUCUAGAGAUUCUUUACAUCAUUGAAAGUCUUCAGAAAGAAAACGUCUAUGAUCACAUCAAGUGGAAUAGGUAUUUCCAGCAUAAGCCCUUACUUAAACACAUACAUAGUGAGUUUACUGUGAUCAUUGCUUGAGGUGUUUAGUUUUAAAGAGGAAACAGCAGGAUUGUUAAAUGAGGAUGCUUUGGGCUUUGGGAUAGAGUGGGAGCAGCUAUCAGAUGAGACCUUAGUCCAUGCUGGCCCAGCCCUUACCUCACCAACCCCGUGGUCUUGCCUUUGGCUCUUGCCUGGGAGUAGAGUGCACGACCCACUGUCUUCUCCCUAAUGGAACUGGUGAAUGUUGUGCCGUCUACAGUCCUAAAAAAAUGACAGGAGGCCACUGAGCUGUUGGGUUUUCCCGAGUAGUAGUCUCAACGAAACAAAUAACAAACAACACAACCAAGAAGAUUUAGCAAAUGUGGGCAAUUAACAUUUUGCACCUAGAAGAGAAGAAAAGGGAGACAUUGGCUUAUCUCAUAGUCAGCAGUCUCUUCAUCUGAGAGUUGAGUUAAGAGAGAAAUAUGACAGGAUACACAGAACUGCUCUGCACUUGUAUAUGGUUUCAUGCGUCAAAACAGCUCUUGCUUGACUUUCAAAAUGACUCAGUCCAUGACUUUCCUGAUGUUGGGGAUGGCCAAGGAACCAAAGUGGAACCCUUGAGCUCCCUGGAGAGAAUUCCUGCACUCUGACAGCCCACUUGCCAUCUCCCCCCUUCUCUUACGAGGAAUAUUUAAAGUGCCCUCAUGACAGGACUCAUUGUUCACUUAGUGGUUAUUGACUGAAUCUGCGUAGAGGCCCACAGCAAAGAGUUUUCUGGAAGUACUUACUUCUGGAAGUCCAUUGGUGGGGAUUUCGAAGCCUUGUGUUUCAAAAACAAAGAAGCAGAUGAGGAGGCACAUGAGCCGAUUCAUUUUUGCUGCGUGGCUUUGCCAAGCUCCCCGUGAGGGGUCCGGGGGGAUCCUACCCCUCGCUGAACCCAGUUCAAAGGAGCAGCAGAAAGAGCCCGUGUUUUAAAAGAAGUCGAAAGAAGAAGAAAGCUCCCAAACUUUGUUCAAAAAAACGGGACAAAUAUUUGUUCUGGAGUUCAAGCUGGAGCCGUGGGGGUGGAUGGGACACCCGGAGGUUAUUCAAACAGCGAAGCCACAGGGAGCCACGGGGCCAGUGAGGACAAGGCAGGGUCAGAGGGACCCGCUUUCUUUGGCUCCUGCUUAUUUCCCUUCCUCUGGGAAUCAGAGAGACCUAAGAGCAGCAGCAUCCUCUUUGAAGUACCAGGUGGGAAGCCACACGGGGAAAUCAAGUCACAGAAAACGGGUGAAAGCAUGACAUUUACGGAAAGGAGAUCCUUUUAUUUAAAAUAAAAGCAAGUGAAGUUUAGCAAAAGUGGAAAAAGAAACACAAGGGUGUUAGGAGCCAAGCACUCGCAGCUGGGGUUUUUUCCUUCUCUCUUUCUGAUAACCAAGUACCUGUUGCGGUGAGGCUGAGCCAGGUGCAAAGGCACGCUCUUCAGGGAGGUCCUUACCUGAAUGUCUUUGACCAAGAGAAUAAUGUCUGUCCCUGCAGCUGCCCCCGAUCAGCCCCACUCAGGUCAGGGGUGGGGGUGGGGGGUGGGGAAGAAUUCUCCUCCGUUCCAGAAUCAGAGAAAACUCAGCCUGGAAGCACUAUGUACUAUGCCUUCCCAUUUGUGGUCUGGAUGGAAUGAUAAUAUUAACUAAGAUUUAUUGAGCCUCCUGGGAUUGGAUGCUUUUACUUGUAUUAUUUCUAAUCCUUUUAUUUAUUAAUCUGUAAAAGAACCAGGGGCACCUGGGUGGCUCAGGACACGAUCCUAGGGUCCUGGGAUUGAGUCCCACAUUGGGCUUCCUGCAAGGAGCCUGCUUCU